CUACGGGGGGCAGCAGUGAGGAAUAUUGCACAAUGGGGGGAACCCUGAUGCAGCAACGCCGCGUGGAGGAUGACGCAUUUCGGUGUGUAAACUCCUUUUAUAUGUCAAGAAAAUGACGGUAGCAUAUGAAUAAGCACCGGCUAACUCCGUGCCAGCAGCCGCGGUAAUACGGAGGGUGCAAGCGUUACUCGGAAUCACUGGGCGUAAAGGACGCGUAGGAGGGUUGGAAAGUCAGGUGUGAAAUCCUACAGCUUAACUGUAGAACUGCACUUGAAACUUCUAAUCUAGAGUAUGGGAGGGGGAGAUGGAAUUAGUGGUGUAGGGGUAAAAUCCGUAGAUAUCACUAGGAAUACCUAAAGCGAAGGCGAUCUCCUGGAACAUUUCUGACGCUAAGGCGUGAAAGCGUGGGGAGCAAACAGGAUUAGAUACCCGCGUAGUC
rnacentral:rRNA from 1 species